CCUACGGGAGGCAGCAGUGAGGAAUAUUGGUCAAUGGGCGCGAGCCUGAACCAGCCAAGUCGCGUGAGGGAGGACGGCCCUACGGGUUGUAAACCUCUUUUGCCGGGGAGCAACGGGCGUCACGUGUGGCGCCACUGAGAGUACCCGGAGAAAAAGCAUCGGCUAACUCCGUGCCAGCAGCCGCGGUAAUACGGAGGAUGCGAGCGUUAUCCGGAUUUAUUGGGUUUAAGGGGUGCGUAGGCGGUUUGAUAAGUUAGAGGUGAAAUACCGGUGCUCAACACCGGAACUGCCUCUAAUACUGUUGAACUAGAGAGUAGUUGCGGUAGGCGGAAUGUAUGGUGUAGCGGUGAAAUGCUUAGAGAUCAUACAGAACACCGAUUGCGAAGGCAGCUUACCAAACUAUAUCUGACGUUGAGGCACGAAAGCGUGGGUAGCAAACAGGAUUAGAUACCCGUGUAGUC
rnacentral:rRNA from 1 species